ACCCCUUUAGUAUAACAGUACAGAUGCCUUCCAAACAUCAAGACCUUCCGAGGAAGGGGUA
rnacentral:tRNA from 1 species